GCAUCGGUGGUUCAGUGGUGAAUGCUCGCCUGCCACGCGGGCGGCCCGCUCGAUUCCCUGCCGAUGCA
rnacentral:tRNA from 1 species